CCUACGGGAGGCAGCAGUGGGGAAUAUUGGGCAAUGGAGGCAACUCUGACCCAGCAACGCCGCGUGAAUGAUGAAGGUCUUCGGAUUGUAAAGUUCUGUGAUGGGGGAUGAACACAAUGACGGUACCCCAAUAGCAAGCCACGGCUAACUACGUGCCAGCAGCCGCGGUAAUACGUAGGUGGCAAGCGUUAUCCGGAAUGACUGGGCGUAAAGGGUGCGUAGGUGGUUUAGUAAGUUGGCGGUGUAAUUCCGGGGCUCAACCUCGGCGCUACCGCCAAAACUAUUAGACUAGAGUGCAGGAGGGGUAAGUGGAAUUCCUAGUGUAGCGGUGGAAUGCGUAGAUAUUAGGAGGAACAUCAGGGGCGAAGGCGACUUACUGGACUGUAACUGACACUGAGGCACGAAAGCGUGGGGAGCAAACAGGAUUAGAUACCCCAGUAGUC
rnacentral:rRNA from 1 species